UGUCUUACAAACAACCUUACUA
rnacentral:siRNA from 1 species